CCUACGGGAGGCAGCAGUGGGGAAUAUUGCACAAUGGGCGAAAGCCUGAUGCAGCAACGCCGCGUGAGUGAUGAAGGUUUUCGGAUCGUAAAACUCUGUUCUAAGGGAAGAUAAUGACGGUACCU
rnacentral:rRNA from 1 species